UAGAUCUGAGUAUAUCAAUAUUACCUUGUUCAGAACUUAAAGAGAAAUCUUGAGUUUAUGGACUUCAGGGGGAGUAUGGUCACAAGGCUGAAACUUAAAGGAAUUGACGGAAGGGCACACCAGGAGUGGAGCCUGCGGCUUAAUUUGACUCAACACGGGAAAACUUACCAAGACCGAACAGUAGAAGGAAUGACAGAUUAAGAGUUCUUUCAUGAUUUAUUGGGUAGUGGUGCAUGGCCGUUCUUAGUUGGUGGAGUGAUUUGUCAGGUUAAUUCCGGUAACGAACGAGACUGAAACCUAUUAAUUAGUUUUCUGCCUAUAAGACAGAAAUGUUCGCAAGAACAGGUGCGUAAGUACCACUUCUUAAAGGGACACAUUUCAAUUGUCCUAUUUUAAUUGUAGUUAUCUAAUUUCGGU
rnacentral:rRNA from 1 species